rnacentral:rRNA from 1 species
CCUACGGGAGGCAGCAGUGAGGAAUAUUGGUCAAUGGACGAGAGUCUGAACCAGCCAAGUAGCGUGAAGGAUGACUGCCCUAUGGGUUGUAAACUUCUUUUAUAUGGGAAUAAAAUGUUCCACGUGUGGGAUUUUGUAUGUACCAUAUGAAUAAGGAUCGGCUAACUCCGUGCCAGCAGCCGCGGUAAUACGGAGGAUCCGAGCGUUAUCCGGAGUUAUUGGGUUUAAAGGGAGCGUAGGUGGAUUGUUAAGUCAGUUGUGAAAGUGUGCGGCUCAACCGUAAAAUUGCAGUUGAAACUGGCAGUCUUGAGUACAGUAGAGGUGGGCGGAAUUCGUGGUGUAGCGGUGAAAUGCUUAGAUAUCACGAAGAACUCCGAUUGCGAAGGCAGUUCACUGGACUGCAACUGACACUGAGGCUCGAAAGUGUGGGUAUCAAACAGGAUUAGAUACCCGAGUAGUC